CAGCGGCCGCCGUCCUGCCCGGGGGCACCAAGCCCGGGCCCCUGCCCCCGCUGGCUCCCGGCCUCGCCCUGCCGCGUGGGCCACGCUGUGACCCGGAAGCGUUCCGGAAGCGGUUCCGGAGUCAGCCCCGGCAGGAUGGCGGCGGACACGCAGGUUUCCGAGACACUAAAGCGUUUUGCAGGGAAGGUGACAACAGCCAGUGUAAAGGAACGGAGAGAAAUCCUCAGUGAACUUGGGAAGUGUGUUGCUGGAAAAGAUCUUCCAGAGGGAGCAGUGAAGGGGCUCUGCAAAUUGUUCUGCUUGACUCUGCAUCGAUAUAGAGAUGCAGCCUCCCGCAGGGCCUUGCAGGCAGCCAUCCAGCAGUUGGCUGAGGCCCAGCCAGAAGCCACUGCUAAGAACCUUCUACACUCUCUGCAGUCUUCUGGUAUAGGCUCCAAAGCAGGUGUUCCCAGUAAGAGCAGUGGCUCUGCCGCCUUGCUGGCCUUGACCUGGACCUGCCUCCUGGUGCGCAUUGUCUUUCCAUCGAGAGCCAAGCGACAAGGAGACAUCUGGAACAAACUGGUGGAAGUGCAGUGCCUGCUCUUGCUGGAGGUGCUGGGUGGCUCCCACAAGCACGCCGUGGAUGGUGCUGUGAAGAAACUCACGAAGCUGUGGAAAGAGAACCCUGGGCUGGUGGAACAGUACUUGUCAGCCAUUCUCAGCCUAGAGCCCAACCAGAACUAUGCCGGCAUGCUGGGGCUGCUAGUGCAGUUCUGCACGAGUCACAAGGAGAUGGACGUGGUCAGUCAGCACAAGAGCGCCCUACUGGACUUUUACAUGAAGAACAUCCUGAUGAGCAAAGUCAAGCCUCCGAAGUACCUGUUGGAUAGCUGUGCCCCUCUGCUCCGAUACCUGUCCCACUCAGAAUUUAAGGAUCUGAUACUGCCCACCAUACAGAAGUCCUUACUGAGGAGUCCAGAGAAUGUUAUUGAAACUAUUUCUAGUCUGCUGGCAUCAGUGACGCUUGACCUCAGCCAGUAUGCCAUGGACAUCGUGAAAGGACUGGCUGGUCACCUGAAAUCCAACAGUCCCCGCCUGAUGGAUGAAGCUGUGCUGGCACUGCGGAACCUGGCACGCCAGUGCAGUGACUCUUCGGCCAUGGAAUCCCUGACCAAGCACCUAUUUGCUAUCCUCGGAGGCUCGGAAGGAAAACUAACUGUUGUAGCCCAGAAGAUGAGCGUCCUCUCAGGGAUUGGGAGCGUCAGUCAUCACGUGGUGUCUGGACCUUCCAGUCAGGUCCUGAAUGGGAUCGUGGCUGAGCUGUUCAUCCCGUUCCUUCAGCAGGAAGUUCAUGAAGGGACCUUGGUACACGCUGUCUCAGUCCUGGCUCUCUGGUGUAACCGAUUCACUACGGAAGUGCCCAAGAAGCUCACUGAAUGGUUCAAAAAAGCUUUCAGCCUUAAAACCUCCACAUCUGCGGUGAGGCACGCCUACCUGCAGUGCAUGUUGGCCUCUUACCGGGGUGACACACUGUUGCAGGCCCUGGACUUACUGCCCUUGCUCAUCCAGACAGUGGAGAAGGCAGCCUCCCAAAGCACUCAGGUUCCCACCAUCACUGAAGGGGUUGCCGCAGCCUUGUUGCUCUUGAAGUUGUCAGUGGCUGACUCACAGGCUGAGGCCAAACUGAGCAGUUUCUGGCAGCUGAUUGUGGAUGAGAAAAAGCAGGUUUUCACUUCUGAGAAAUUCCUGGUCAUGGCUUCAGAGGAUGCCCUGUGUACUGUGUUGCAUCUGACAGAGAGACUUUUCCUUGACCACCCGCAUAGACUCACUGGCAACAAAGUUCAGCAGUACCACCGGGCUCUGGUGGCGGUGCUCCUGAGCCGCACCUGGCACGUCCGCAGGCAGGCUCAGCAGACAGUUCGGAAGCUGCUGUCCUCUCUUGGGGGCUUUAAGCUGGCGCACGGACUCUUGGAGGAGCUGAAGACUGUCCUCAGUUCUCACAAGGUGCUGCCCUUAGAGGCUUUGGUGACUGAUGCUGGAGAGGUGACUGAGGCAGGCAAGGCCUACGUGCCUCCACGGGUCCUGCAGGAGGCUCUGUGUGUCAUCUCCGGUGUGCCAGGGCUCAAGGGUGAUGUCACCGACACUGAACAACUGGCCCAGGAAAUGCUGAUCAUCUCCCACCACCCAUCCUUAGUUGCCGUGCAGUCUGGACUUUGGCCAGCACUUCUUGCCAGGAUGAAGAUCGAUCCUGAAGCCUUUAUCACCAGGCACCUGGAUCAGAUCAUUCCCAGGAUGACCACACAGAGUCCCCUAAACCAGUCCUCCAUGAAUGCCAUGGGCUCCCUUUCCAUCCUGUCGCCGGACCGGGUCCUCCCACAGCUCAUCAGCACCAUCACUGCCUCCGUGCAGAACCCUGCACUGCGCCUGGUGACGCGGGAGGAGUUUGCCAUUAUGCAGACCCCUGCUGGGGAGCUGUAUGACAAAUCCAUCAUUCAGAGUGCCCAGCAGGACAGCAUAAAAAAGGCCAACAUGAAGCGAGAGAACAAAGCUUAUUCCUUCAAAGAGCAGAUCAUCGAGCUGGAGCUGAAGGAGGAGAUAAAGAAGAAGAAAGGCAUCAAAGAGGAGGUGCAGCUGACCAGCAAGCAGAAGGAGAUGCUGCAGGCCCAGCUAGACAGGGAGGCGCAGGUCCGGAGGCGGCUGCAGGAGCUGGAUGGGGAGCUGGAGGCGGCGCUUGGACUGCUGGACAUCAUCCUGGCCAAGAACCCGUCCGGCCUGACCCAGUACAUCCCCGUUUUGGUCGACUCUUUUCUGCCCUUGCUGAAGUCUCCCCUGGCUGCUCCCAGGAUCAAGAACCCCUUCUUGUCCUUGGCUGCCUGUGUCAUGCCCUCUAGGCUCAAGGCUUUGGGCACUUUGGUGAGCCACGUGACCCUGCGCCUGCUGAAGCCAGAGUGUGCCCUGGAUAAGUCCUGGUGCCAGGAAGAGCUGUCGGUGGCUGUGAAGAGGGCGGUGACGCUGCUGCACACCCACACCAUCACCAGCAGGGUGGGCAAGGGGGAGCCAGGUGCUGCGCCCUUGUCCGCGCCAGCCUUCUCCUUAGUCUUCCCGUUUCUGAAGAUGGUGCUGACGGAGAUGCCCCACCACAGUGAGGAGGAGGAGGAGCGGAUGGCCCAGAUUCUUCAGAUCCUCACUGUCCAAGCCCAGCUGAGGGCCUCCCCCAGCACCCCACCCGGGCGGGUGGACGAGAAUGGCCCAGAGCUGCUGCCUCGCGUGGCCAUGCUGCGUCUUCUGACUUGGGUGAUCGGGACGGGCUCGCCUCGCUUACAGGUUCUGGCUUCAGACACCCUGACCACCCUGUGUGCCAGCAGCAGUGGUGAUGAUGGCUGUGCCUUUGCGGAGCAGGAGGAGGUGGACGUGCUGCUCUGUGCCUUGCAGUCCCCGUGUGCCAGCGUGCGGGAAACUGUGCUCCGGGGGCUGAUGGAACUCCACAUGGUAUUGCCAGCACCUGAUACUGAUGAGAAGAAUGGCCUGAACCUUCUGCGGAGACUCUGGGUGGUCAAGUUUGACAAGGAGGAGGAGAUCCGGAAGCUGGCUGAGAGGCUGUGGUCAAUGAUGGGCCUAGACCUGCAGCCAGACCUCUGCUCCUUGCUGAUCGACGACGUGAUCUAUCAUGAGGCGGCUGUAAGGCAGGCAGGGGCCGAAGCCCUCUCCCAAGCAGUGGCACGUUACCAGCGGCAGGCGGCGGAGGUUAUGGGCAGGCUCAUGGAGAUUUACCAGGAGAAGCUCUACCGGCCGCCCCCAGUGCUGGAUGCUUUGGGACGAGUUAUUUCAGAAUCUCCUCCAGAUCAGUGGGAAGCCAGGUGUGGCUUGGCGUUGGCCCUCAACAAGCUCUCCCAGUAUUUGGACAGCUCUCAGGUGAAGCCACUCUUUCAAUUUUUUGUCCCUGAUGCCCUCAAUGACCGACACCCAGAUGUCCGGAAGUGCAUGUUGGAUGCAGCCCUCGCAACGCUCAACACUCAUGGGAAGGAGAACGUCAACUCGCUGUUGCCAGUAUUCGAGGAGUUCCUGAAGAACGCGCCCAAUGAUGCCAGCUACGAUGCUGUGCGACAGAGUGUGGUGGUCCUGAUGGGCUCUCUGGCCAAGCACCUGGACAAGAGUGACCCCAAAGUGAAGCCCAUUGUUGCCAAGCUCAUCGCUGCCCUCUCCACCCCCUCCCAGCAGGUCCAGGAGUCCGUAGCCAGCUGCUUGCCACCCCUCGUGCCAGCCAUCAAGGAGGAUGCUGGAGGGAUGAUCCAGAGGCUUAUGCAGCAGCUGCUGGAGUCAGACAAGUACGCAGAGCGCAAAGGGGCCGCGUAUGGCCUGGCGGGCCUGGUGAAGGGCCUGGGCAUCCUCUCGCUGAAGCAACAGGAGAUGAUGGCAGCACUGACUGAUGCCAUCCAAGAUAAGAAGAACUUCCGCCGGCGAGAGGGAGCCCUCUUUGCCUUCGAGAUGCUCUGCACCAUGCUGGGGAAACUUUUUGAGCCGUAUGUGGUUCACGUGCUGCCCCAUCUGCUCCUGUGCUUUGGGGAUGGAAACCAGUAUGUGCGUGAGGCUGCAGAUGACUGUGCCAAGGCUGUGAUGAGCAACUUGAGUGCUCACGGGGUGAAGCUGGUGCUCCCCUCCUUACUGGCUGCCCUGGAGGAGGAAUCGUGGCGGACCAAAGCUGGGUCGGUGGAGCUUCUUGGGGCAAUGGCGUACUGUGCUCCUAAGCAGCUGUCAUCCUGUCUACCCAACAUUGUGCCCAAGCUUACGGAGGUGCUGACCGACUCCCAUGUCAAAGUCCAGAAGGCUGGACAGCAGGCGCUCAGGCAGAUCGGCUCCGUCAUCAGGAACCCGGAGAUCCUGGCCAUUGCUCCAGUCCUCCUGGAUGCCCUGACGGAUCCCUCCAGGAAGACCCAGAAGUGCUUGCAGACCCUGCUGGACACCAAGUUUGUCCACUUCAUUGAUGCCCCAUCCCUGGCCCUCAUCAUGCCCAUUGUCCAGAGAGCCUUCCAGGACCGUUCCACGGACACGCGGAAGAUGGCAGCCCAGAUUAUUGGCAACAUGUACUCCCUGACAGACCAGAAGGACUUGGCUCCGUACCUGCCCAGCGUGACGCCUGGCCUGAAAGCAUCGCUUUUGGACCCUGUGCCUGAGGUGCGGACCGUAUCUGCAAAGGCCCUUGGGGCCAUGGUGAAGGGCAUGGGGGAGUCGUGCUUUGAGGACUUGCUGCCGUGGCUGAUGGAGACACUGACCUAUGAGCAGAGCUCUGUGGAUCGCUCAGGCGCUGCACAGGGGUUGGCUGAGGUCAUGGCCGGUUUGGGGGUGGAGAAGUUGGAGAAGUUGAUGCCAGAAAUCGUGGCUACAGCCAGCAAAGUGGACAUUGCACCCCAUGUCCGAGAUGGCUACAUUAUGAUGUUUAACUACCUGCCCAUCACCUUUGGAGACAAGUUUACUCCUUAUGUGGGGCCCAUCAUCCCCUGUAUCCUCAAAGCUCUUGCUGACGAGAAUGAGUUUGUGCGUGACACCGCCCUGCGCGCGGGCCAGCGGGUUAUCUCCAUGUACGCUGAGACAGCCAUCGCCCUGCUGCUGCCCCAGCUAGAGCAAGGCCUCUUUGAUGACCUUUGGAGAAUCAGGUUCAGCUCUGUUCAGCUCCUUGGGGAUCUCCUGUUUCACAUCUCAGGAGUCACUGGGAAGAUGACCACAGAAACUGCCUCUGAGGAUGAUAACUUUGGAACUGCCCAGUCCAACAAGGCGAUCAUCACUGCCCUGGGGGUAGAGCGGCGGAACCGGGUGUUGGCAGGGCUGUACAUGGGCCGCUCAGACACCCAGCUGGUGGUGCGGCAGGCGUCCCUGCAUGUCUGGAAGAUUGUUGUCUCCAAUACCCCCCGCACCUUGCGUGAGAUCCUACCCACUCUCUUUGGGCUCCUGCUGGGUUUCCUGGCCAGCACGUGUGCAGAUAAGAGAACGAUUGCAGCGAGAACAUUGGGAGAUCUUGUGCGGAAGUUAGGGGAGAAAAUCCUCCCCGAGAUCAUCCCCAUCCUUGAGGAAGGCCUGAGGUCUCAGAAGAGCGAUGAGAGGCAGGGUGUGUGCAUUGGCCUAAGUGAGAUCAUGAAGUCCACCAGCCGGGAUGCCGUGCUGUAUUUCUCUGAAUCCCUCGUGCCCACGGCAAGGAAGGCUUUGUGUGACCCACUGGAGGAGGUCAGAGAGGCGGCAGCCAAGACUUUCGAGCAGCUGCAUUCCACCAUCGGCCACCAGGCUCUGGAGGACAUUCUCCCAUUUUUACUAAAGCAGCUGGAUGACGAGGAGGUGUCAGAGUUUGCCUUGGAUGGUCUGAAGCAAGUCAUGGCUAUUAAGAGUCGUGUGGUGCUGCCCUACCUUGUGCCCAAGCUGACAACGCCACCUGUCAACACCCGGGUGCUGGCUUUCCUUUCGUCAGUGGCUGGUGAUGCCCUCACCCGUCAUCUUGGCGUGAUCCUCCCAGCAGUCAUGCUGGCCCUGAAGGAAAAGCUUGGGACCCCAGAUGAGCAGCUGGAGAUGGCCAAUUGUCAGGCUGUGAUCCUCUCCGUAGAGGAUGACACAGGGCACCGGAUCAUCAUUGAGGAUCUGCUGGAGGCCACCCGCAGCCCUGAGGUGGGCAUGAGGCAAGCUGCUGCCAUCAUCCUCAACAUCUACUGUUCCCGCUCGAAGGCUGACUACACCAGCCACCUGCGGAGCCUGGUCUCGGGCCUGAUCCGCCUCUUCAAUGACUCCAGCCCUGUGGUUCUGGAGGAGAGCUGGGAUGCCCUAAAUGCCAUCACUAAGUCUUGAGAGGGCUGUACAUCCUCUCGCUUUUUCCUGGAUUCCUGCAGAAGCUGGAUGCUGGCAACCAGUUGGCACUCAUUGAAGAGCUGCACAAGGAAAUCCGGCUCAUAGGGAACGAGAGCAAAGGCGAGCAUGUGCCAGGAUUCUGCCUCCCGAAGAAGGGAGUGACCUCCAUCCUUCCAGUGUUGCGGGAAGGAGUCCUGACUGGCAGCCCUGAGCAGAAGGAGGAGGCAGCCAAAGCCUUAGGCUUGGUAAUCCGCCUGACCUCGGCUGACGCCCUGAGGCCCUCCGUGGUCAGCAUCACUGGCCCUCUGAUCCGCAUCCUGGGGGACAGGUUCAGCUGGAAUGUGAAGGCGGCUCUGCUCGAGACACUCAGCCUCUUGUUGGCUAAGGUUGGGAUUGCCCUGAAGCCCUUCCUGCCCCAGCUGCAGACCACUUUCACCAAAGCCCUGCAGGACUCCAACCGGGGGGUGCGCCUGAAGGCCGCAGAUGCUCUGGGGAAGCUCAUUUCCAUCCACAUUAAGGUGGACCCCCUCUUCACAGAGCUGCUCAAUGGCAUCCGCGCCAUGGAGGACCCAGGUGUCAGGGACACCAUGCUGCAGGCCCUGAGGUUUGUGAUUCAGGGAGCAGGGGCCAAAGUGGAUGCCGUCAUCCGGAAAAACAUCGUCUCACUCCUGCUGAGCAUGCUGGGACACGAUGAGGACAACACUCGCAUCUCCUCAGCCGGGUGCCUAGGGGAACUGUGUGCCUUUUUGACUGAAGAGGAGCUUAGUACCGUUCUACAGCAGUGCUUGCUGGCGGACGUGUCCGGCAUUGACUGGAUGGUUCGGCACGGGCGGAGCCUGGCACUUUCCGUGGCUGUGAAUGUGGCUCCUGGCAGACUUUGUGCCGGCAGAUACAGCAGUGAUGUUCAGGAAAUGAUCCUGAGCAGUGCCACGGCGGACAGGAUCCCCAUUGCGGUGAGCGGGGUCCGGGGCAUGGGCUUUCUCAUGAGACACCACAUCGAGACAGGCGGAGGACAGUUGCCGGCCAAACUUUCCAGCCUGUUCGUUAAGUGUCUGCAGAACCCAUCCAGCGACAUCAGGCUGGUGGCUGAGAAGAUGAUCUGGUGGGCAAAUAAGGACCCGCUGCCUCCCCUGGACCCCCAGGCCAUCAAGCCCAUCCUGAAGGCUCUUCUUGACAACACCAAGGAUAAGAACACCGUGGUCAGGGCCUACAGCGACCAGGCAAUUGUCAACCUCCUCAAGAUGCGGCAGGGCGAAGAGGUGUUUCAGUCCCUCUCCAAGAUCCUGGAUGUGGCCAGUUUGGAGGUGCUGAACGAGGUUAACCGAAGGUCCCUGAAGAAGCUGGCCAGCCAGGCCGACUCCACGGAGCAGGUGGACGACACCAUCCUGACAUGAGAGGCCUGGGCCAGCAGCAGCAUUGCCGCUCCACAUCUUUGCUCAAUGUUUUCAUUUUUGAAAAUACAUUUGUUCCAAUGGGGAGCUUGGAAGAUGGCGUUCCCAGAAAGUAUUUUAAUAUCAAUAGACCACAGCCAAAGCCUUAAAUCAAACCCACACACAACUGAAAAUUGCCUCCUCCAUCUCUCACCUUUUCCUGUGGAGAAGAGAAGGAAAAGCGCACGCAUGCGCCUCAGCAAAUGGCAGCCCAGGAGCUGUUUGUCCAGUUUAGCAUGGCUAGGUCUGGAACUAUAAUAGCAGAGUCAGACUGUGGGUUCCUCUUCUCCUGUGCUUGAGCUCUGGUUUGAGAGCUGGCGCUACCAACCUUUUGCCUAGAUCCCGAGUGGGGCACAGACGGUGGAUCUCUGCCCAGUGUGGUGUGUCUGGCUUGGCUUUUCAAUAUUGUGAGGUCUGAAUGGAUCUGACCCCUGUCAGAUGAAAAUGACCCACAGCUCUGGCAGUUCCCAAGUCUGGGGAGGGGUAUAGGUUUGAAAGGCUGUUUGAAAGAGGAAUGUUUAAUAAAGGCUUUGAUUUAA